UAACGGGGCUAAACCAUGCACCGAAGCUGCGGCAGCGACACUAUGUGUUGUUUGGUAGGGGAUCGUUCUGUAAGCCUGCGAAGGUGACCUGUGAGGGUUGCUGGAGGUAUCAGAAGUGCGAAUGCUGACAUAAGUAACGAUAAAGCGGGUGAAAAGCCCGCUCGCCGGAAGACCAAGGGUUCCUGUCCAACGUUAAUCGGGGCAGGGUGAGUCGACCCCUAAGGCGAGGCCGAAAGGCGUAGUCGAUGGGAAACAGGUUAAUAUUCCUGUACUUGGUGUUACUGCUAAGGGGGGACGGAGAAGGCUAUGUUAGCCGGGCGACGGUUGUCCCGGUUU
rnacentral:rRNA from 1 species